rnacentral:rRNA from 1 species
AUGCCGCCGAGCCGGCGCGCGGGGAAGGCAGCGUCAGAGCCACAGAAGGCUGCGUCGGAGCCGCAGCCGGCCGCGGGCUCCAGCUCGUCAGCCCAGGAUGUGGAGGUGGCCAGCGCUACCUCGGGGUGGACGCCGGGCGGAGGGACGACCGUGAUGAACGUGGCCGCGCAGGACGUCCGGACCCGGCUCCAGGCCCAGGCUACGGCGCUGAGACAAUACACCGACGAAUUCCUUGCGACGCGGGCGGCCAUCCGGGACUACCACAAUCUUCGUGCGGUCGCCUUCAACUCCCAGGCUCGGGAGCUGACCCAGAAGACCGCCGACCUAACUGAGAGUCGGGCGGCCAACGCCGGUCUGAGGGCACAGCUGGGAGAGUCUCAGACGGCCCUUCGUGCCAAGGAGGCCGAGUUUGCCGCCUUGGUGCAGGAACGUGACCGCCUAGCCAAGAGGUUGGCCGACCAGGAGGAGGGACACAAGGCAGCUCUGAAGGCGGUGCAGGACCGCGAAGCCGCCCUCUAG